rnacentral:lncRNA from 1 species
UUUUAGGAAGGGCGUCUCUAGAGAGGAACAUGAUAAUUUUAUCGUGGGUGAACACAUUUUCAUAUCUUCUUAUUUAGUAGUAUCAGGAUACUUAAUGUUUAAUUCCACCAUUGUCCUCUGCUUUUGAUGAAUGAAUAAGAUGAUAAAGUAUAGUUAUUAUAGUGCAGAUAUAUCAUUUGAAAGGUUACCUGCAUGUCACAAAAUAAAAUGGCCAUUUCCCACAUAGUUGUUGUGAAGAUCAGAUACGAUGGCAUAAAGUUCAGACAUCUUAUUUGGAGAUAAAAACAUUUUAAAGACUGUUGAUCUGGUCUAAACGCUAAAUUACAAAAUACAAUUAUGUAAUGCUAAACGAUGAAGUGAAUAACAAAAAAAAAAAAAAAAAAAAACCACAAACAAACAAACACAUAUGUUAUUGCAAAUCAUAGCGCUGAUAAGUGGCAGAAUAAUCAACAAUAAUUUCGUACUUAUGAUUCCAAGUGAUUCAAUAUGAUUAAGACAAAAUAUUUAUUUGGACAGGCAGAAAAAUACAACAUGCACAGUAGUUAUUCACUACUAGAUAUCAUUUGAUUUGAUUUGUGUAGGGUUGCUGUCUUAUUGAAUAAUUACAAUCUUUCUUAUAAUGCCUAGAUGCAUUAUUGAAUGUAAUUAAAAUUUUGAGGUUGUUAUUUAACAGAUUUUCUAGCACUUGUCAGAUGUCAUACUUUGACCAUAUCACAAUAUCACAGAACGCACAAUCUACUAGAAGAAACAACACUUUGCAAUUUUUUUAAAUAGCCAAUUUUACAACGAAUUAAUAAUAAAAAAUGAAUACAAAAUAAAAUUUAAAAAAACCAAUUAAAACUACAUUUAUAGAACUGUGCAUAUGAAACUUAAGCAUUUGCAUAUUGUUUUUCAUGUCAUUCAAUUUAAAUUGUAUUUUUUCCUUCAGUUUUUGACGGAAAAACCACCUUUCUUUUAAAGCUAUACCUCACGAUACCGACUGUAAUAUUUCAUGCGAUAUGUUUCCUGUAGGGGAUUUUCUGUAACAUGAAAUUGAAUACCAGACCCACUAUAGAGUCAAAACCAUCUGAGGAUAAUUGCUUAAAUAUAACAAUUAAAACAGGUACGAAGUAAUAUUGCUGUUGAUGCUGUUAAGUAAAAGAAUUCAAGUUCAAACACACACAAUCAUUAUGGAAACACUAUUUGUUUCAUGAUAUAUACGAACCAUAUUAUAUAAAGAAAAUCAUACACAGUCGAAUAUUUAUGUUUUAAGUAGCAUCUAUGAGAAUGCCAUUGUUCCCCAAAAAACAAAUUAUUCUUGCAAGAAGAGCUUGAUUAAAAAAAAAAUCACUUGCGGAAUCUUGAAAACUAUGAUGUAUUCAAUUCAAUAUAAUCAUUGCUAUCCUUUCAAAUAUGUUAAGAAUUGUAUCCGGGAUCUUUGGAAAAAUAACCUAGAAUAAUUAACUAUAUUGAUUAAAUACAACCUUAAGACGGAAAUGUUUUCAAACUGACUUUUAAGUUAUUUUGGGUUUAUUAUCAUAUGCUUGAUUACUGACAUCUACUGAAUAGCAAACCUUACUAAGCGUGUCAACUUUAAACGGAAUAAAUGAAUAAUCAAAUUUAUGAAAAAUUUUCAAGACAAGAAAGUUUUAUUGAAUACGUAGCACUAGGUAUGUAAAAUAUAAGAAUUGCAUUUUUAUGAUUUAAUUUUAGACAAAUCAUCAACAAUAUAUUUAUUUACGAGAAUAUCAACAACCAACGGAUACAAUUUCCAAUUCGGAGUGAGGCUGCAUCAUA